UCAGAACCGUACCGCAAACCGACACAGGUGGGCAGGAUGAGAAUUCUAAGGCGCUUGAGAGAACUCAGGAGAAGGAACUCGGCAAAUUGAUACCGUAACUUCGGGAGAAGGUAUGCCCUUUGAUGUGAAAGACUUGCUCUGUAAGCAUCGGAGGGUCGCAGAGAAUCGGUGGCUGCGACUGUUUAUUAAAAACACAGCACUCUGCAAACACGAAAGUGGACGUAUAGGGUGUGACGCCUGCCCGGUGCUGGAAGGUUAAUUGAAGAUGUGCAAGCAUCGGAUCGAAGCCCCAGUAAACGGCGGCCGUAACAAUAACGGUCCUAAGGUAGCGAAAUUCCUUGUCGGGUAAGUUCCGACCCGCACGAAUGGCGUAACGAUGGCCACACUGUCUCCUCCUGAGACUCAGCGAAGUUGAAAUGGUUGUGAAGAUGCAAUCUACCCGCUGCUAGACGGAAAGACCCCGUGAACCUUUACUGUAGCUUUGCAUUGGACUUUGAAGUCACUUGUGUAGGAUAGGUGGGAGGCUUAGAAGCAGGAACGCUAGUUCUUGUGGAGCCGUCCUUGAAAUACCACCCUGGUGACUUUGAGGUUCUAACCCAGACCCGUAAUCCGGGUCGGGGACCGUGCAUGGUAGGCAGUUUGACUGGGGCGGUCUCCUCCCAAAGAGUAACGGAGGAGUUCGAAGGUUACCUAGGUCCGGUCGGAAAUCGGGCUGAUAGUGCAAUGGCAAAAGGUAGCUUAACUGCGAGACCGACAAGUCGAGCAGGUGCGAAAGCAGGACAUAGUGAUCCGGUGGUUCUGAAAUGGAAGGGCCAUCGCUCAACGGAUAAAAGGUACUCCGGGGAUAACAGGCUGAUUCCGCCCAAGAGUUCAUAUCGACGGCGGAGUUUGGCACCUCGAUGUCGGCUCAUCACAUCCUGGGGCUGUAGUCGGUCCCAAGGGUAUGGCUGUUCGCCAUUUAAAGUGGUACGUGAGCUGGGUUUAAAACGUCGUGAGACAGUUUGGUCCCUAUCUGCAGUGGGCGUUGGAAGUUUGACGGGGGCUGCUCCUAGUACGAGAGGACCGGAGUGGACGAACCUCUGGUGUACCGGUUGUCACGCCAGUGGCAUCGCCGGGUAGCUAAGUUCGGAAGAGAUAAGCGCUGAAAGCAUCUAAGCGCGAAACUCGCCUGAAGAUGAGACUUCCCUUGCGGCUUGACCGCACUAAAGAGACGUUCGAGACCAGGACGUUGAUAGGUCGGGUGUGGAAGUGCAGCAAUGCAUGAAGCUAACCGAUACUAAUUGCUCGUGAGGCUUGAC
rnacentral:rRNA from 1 species